CCUACGGGAGGCAGCAGUGAGGAAUAUUGGUCAAUGGACGAGAGUCUGAACCAGCCAAGUAGCGUGAAGGAUGACUGCCCUAUGGGUUGUAAACUUCUUUUAUAUGGGAAUAAAAUGUUCCACGUGUGGGAUUUUGUAUGUACCAUAUGAAUAAGGAUCGGCUAACUCCGUGCCAGCAGCCGCGGUAAUACGGAGGAUCCGAGCGUUAUCCGGAUUUAUUGGGUUUAAAGGGAGCGUAGGUGGAUUGUUAAGUCAGUUGUGAAAGUUUGCGGCUCAACCGUAGAAUUGCAGUUGAAACUGGCAGUCUUGAGUACAGUAGAGGUAGGCGGAAUGCGUGGUGUAGCGGUGAAAUGCUUAGAUAUCACGAAGAACUCCGAUUGCGAAGGCAGUUCACUGGACUGCAACUGACACUGAGGCUCGAAAGUGUGGGUAUCAAACAGGAUUAGAUACCCGAGUAGUC
rnacentral:rRNA from 1 species